rnacentral:rRNA from 1 species
UUUGACGUUAGCGACAGAAGAAGCACCGGCUAACUCCGUGCCAGCAGCCGCGGUAAUACGGAGGGUGCGAGCGUUAAUCGGAAUUACUGGGCGUAAAGCGCAUGCAGGUGGUUUGUUAAGUCAGAUGUGAAAGCCCGGGGCUCAACCUCGGAAUUGCAUUUGAAACUGGCAGACUAGAGUACUGUAGAGGGGGGUAGAAUUUCAGGUGUAGCGGUGAAAUGCGUAGAGAUCUGAAGGAAUACCGGUGGCGAAGGCGGCCCCCUGGACAGAUACUGACACUCAGAUGCGAAAGCGUGGGGAGCAAACAGGAUUAGAUACCCUGGUAGUCCACGCCGUAAACGAUGUCUACUUGGAGGUUGUGGCCUUGAGCCGUGGCUUUCGGAGCUAACGCGUUAAGUAGACCGCCUGGGGAGUACGGUCGCAAGAUUAAAACUCAAAUGAAUUGACGGGGGCCCGCACAAGCGGUGGAGCAUGUGGUUUAAUUCGAUGCAACGCGAAGAACCUUACCUACUCUUGACAUCCAGAGAACUUUCCAGAGAUGGAUUGGUGCCUUCGGGAACUCUGAGACAGGUGCUGCAUGGCUGUCGUCAGCUCGUGUUGUGAAAUGUUGGGUUAAGUCCCGCAACGAGCGCAACCCUUAUCCUUGUUUGCCAGCGAGUAAUGUCGGGAACUCCAGGGAGACUGCCGGUGAUAAACCGGAGGAAGGUGGGGACGACGUCAAGUCAUCAUGGCCCUUACGAGUAGGGCUACACACGUGCUACAAUGGCGCAUACAGAGGGCAGCCAACUUGCGAAAGUGAGCGAAUCCCAAAAAGUGCGUCGUAGUCCGGAUUGGAGUCUGCAACUCGACUCCAUGAAGUCGGAAUCGCUAGUAAUCGUGGAUCAGAAUGCCACGGUGAAUACGUUCCCGGGCCUUGUACACACCGCCCGUCACACCAUGGGAGUGGGCUGCAAAAGAAGUAGGUAGUUUAACCUUCGGGGGG